UUCAUGCAAUGAAACCCUAGCCGCAAAGUAAAAGAAAGAAAGGGAGAAGGGGAAACAGGGAAGGGAGAUUCGGAGGGAGGAGGGGUGUCGCCACCAUGCCUCGCCACCGCACCACCUCACCCUGCCGUCAAAUCCAUUCCACUGCUGCCACCAACGCCGACGAAGAGGGAUGGCUCGCGAGUGAGAGGGUCACGGGCUUGUAGUCGUUGUCCUUGUCGCCGAGAAAGAAGGAUGCCAUCGGCGCCAUUCAGGGUAGAAGGAAGAGUCGUGUGAGAGUCAGAGGAGGAGGGAGCCUCUGUUGCGUCGCCAUUGCACCAUUGCCGCCGCUGGGGGAUUUUUGUGCAUCGCCGCCGAGGGUUUGCCGCUAGUGAGGAGACGCCGUCGCCUCAAGCUACUGCCGCCAUCGAGUUUUGAGGAGAGAGAGGGAGCUGCGGAGAGGGUGAGACACGAUGGUGGUGGGUUAUUACGCUACCCUUGCUGCCAUCGCCGCCAGGAGCUGUCGCCAUGGCCACCGGCAUCCUAGCUGUUGUUGUGGUUGUGGCCCGCUGGGAAUGGUCGCCGGGGGAGUCGUUGUGGCUGCUGAAACCACCGCUGAAGCUUAUGGCCGCUUUUGCCGCCGGAAAACCUCGCUGUCGUCGCCCGGAAAUACUAUCAUGGUUCGGGCCGCUGCCGUCACUCGAAAAUUAUUGACGGAGCUGCUGCCGGGUUGAUUUGGAGUUGCAGCUGCUUCGCUUUGUUAUUUCAGAGUUAAAAUCCGAAUUUACUUGUGGCGUUUGAAGCUGUUUCUGCUUUUGAGAGAGCAAGUGGAGCCGAGGUUUUGGUUGCCGUCAAUUCGAGUGGAGGCAAAAAGAACUCUGUGAGGCGUUUGGGCUGUGGUUUUGCGUAUUGAGGUCUUUUCUUUUUCAGGUUAUGGACGACAAAGUUCAGAAGAGCUUAAUUCUUUUCUGUUAGACGAGAUUUCUGUAUUAUUUUAGUAUUUAUGUUUCCCUCGCCUUUAGCUUUGCAAGUUUUGUAAGAGGGAUAGGAUGUUGAUAUGAGAUGCUUGUAAAUUAAUAUGUAUGUAUAUGUAUAUAUAUGAGAUUCCUAUGAGUAUUCUAAUUUAUAUUGUAAGUAUGAAUGUAUGU